CACAAAAAAAAUAAUUACAGUCAAAUAGUUUUUGCUGAUAAUUUGAGGUGUUUCAGCUUGUAUGUCUGAUGGGUGGGAUUUGUCAUGAACAACACAAUGAGUUCCAGAUGAUAAGAAAACCAUUAGAAAGUUUGCUUGUUCAACUUGACUCUCACCUUUUGGAAUAGUCUGAACUCUACCUAACCUGACAGUGCCAGUCAUAGGUUGGAGGGAGGACACCUAAUCCUCAAGUACAGACAACUACUUGUUUGGACUACAGCCAGAGACACAGUAAUCAGCACCACCUCUGCUGCGCACCUGUCAUCAAUCAGCCCUCAUCAUCACCUGCAUAUAAGCCUGCCAGAUCCCGGAAACCCUCGCCAGAGUAUUGCAGCUUCUCCAACGUGUAUCCUCCCUCAUCAAGUGGAUCUCUGCCACCUCGCCAUCAAGUCAGCCACCCUUCCUCGUCGCUGCCUGCCACGUAUUCUCUGCAUCAACAACCCGCCAGCGCAUCUCAAGGACCA